GGUCUUUCGGAGCUGUGCGGCAGGCUGAGCAGGAAUGGCAAUGUGGACCUCUGUGAUGGGACAACUGGUGGGAUCUCACAUCCAGUUCUGUGUCAAAGGAGGAUGAAGACUAAGGACUCAUGAGGAAGCUGGAUUACUGGACGAGAGCAAUGUUCUAGAAGGGAAGACCAGAAAAUGAGAUGGUGGAGUUUAAUAAGGCUGGACAGACAGUUUUGAAAGUAAGUAUUGAAAAAUGCUUGAAUCUAGGCCAAUAAAAAGGGACAUGCAGAGAUUUUAAAUCCAUCAAAACUCCAGCAUGCAUUGUCUUUGGGUGUUUAGAUAGGUGUAUUUUGCACAACACUCGGGGUUUUUGUAAUGAUGUUGAUCAAAUGUCUGAGCUGAAUGUAACUUGUAGACAAUUUCUAACACUGAAGAACCCUGUGGCAGGCAACUAAAAAUAGUUGAGUGAUGCUUAGCAUAUUUGUAAGAGGUAUUUUCUUUUAAUUCCAGUCACUGUGGUUGCAUGCUUUCAUUUGGAUGGCUUGCCUUGGACACAAAUGGUUUGAAUAAAGAAAGGUAUUACACAUGGAUCCCCUCAGUUGAAGGCACUG
ensembl:processed_transcript